CUUUCUUUAUUUUUUUUUUUUAAGUGAGGGGAUUUAAAAGGACGAGACGGCUGUAGGCAAGGUUUCGAUUAAGUGAGUUUGGUACACUGGAGAUCAUUACAGAAGCUGAAGCAAAAGCUACAAAAAGUCUCUCUGCCUCAGCUGUAACUACCAAUUCAGCCAUCCUUAAUGCAUCUACCUCUUCUGCUUCCAGCGCCAUAACUACACACAAUUCUGACGCACCCCCAGAAAAUAUUCCCAGAUCUGAGUUCCAGACCUGUGAAAGUCUCAAGCUUUCUGGGCAAAUGGAUGGCUUUGAGAAUCCCCGUUCUUGCCCUCAGGAGCAUAAAGACAGAGUUUCUAAGUGCUCCCCACCCGACUAUGGAAAUCGGACAAGUAGCAGCC